rnacentral:rRNA from 1 species
UGUGUGUUAGUGGAAGCGUCUGGAAAGGCGCGCGAUACAGGGUGACAGCCCCGUACACAAAAAUGCACAUGCUGUGAGCUCGAUGAGUAGGGCGGGACACGUGGUAUCCUGUCUGAAUAUGGGGGGACCAUCCUCCAAGGCUAAAUACUCCUGACUGACCGAUAGUGAACCAGUACCGUGAGGGAAAGGCGAAAAGAACCCCGGCGAGGGGAGUGAAAAAGAACCUGAAACCGUGUACGUACAAGCAGUGGGAGCACGCUUAGGCGUGUGACUGCGUACCUUUUGUAUAAUGGGUCAGCGACUUAUAUUCUGUAGCAAGGUUAACCGAAUAGGGGAGCCGAAGGGAAACCGAGUCUUAACUGGGCGUUAAGUUGCAGGGUAUAGACCCGAAACCCGGUGAUCUAGCCAUGGGCAGGUUGAAGGUUGGGUAACACUAACUGGAGGACCGAACCGACUAAUGUUGAAAAAUUAGCGGAUGACUUGUGGCUGGGGGUGAAAGGCCAAUCAAACCGGGAGAUAGCUGGUUCUCCCCGAAAGCUAUUUAGGUAGCGCCUCGUGAAUUCAUCUCCGGGGGUAGAGCACUGUUUCGGCAAGGGGGUCAUCCCGACUUACCAACCCGAUGCAAACUGCGAAUACCGGAGAAUGUUAUCACGGGAGACACACGGCGGGUGCUAACGUCCGUCGUGAAGAGGGAAACAACCCAGACCGCCAGCUAAGGUCCCAAAGUCAUGGUUAAGUGGGAAACGAUGUGGGAAGGCCCAGACAGCCAGGAUGUUGGCUUAGAAGCAGCCAUCAUUUAAAGAAAGCGUAAUAGCUCACUGGUCGAGUCGGCCUGCGCGGAAGAUGUAACGGGGCUAAACCAUGCACCGAAGCUGCGGCAGCGACGCUGAUGCGUUGUUGGGUAGGGGAGCGUUCUGUAAGCCUGCGAAGGUGUGCUGUGAGGCAUGCUGGAGGUAUCAGAAGUGCGAAUGCUGACAUAAGUAACGAUAAAGCGGGUGAAAAGCCCGCUCGCCGGAAGACCAAGGGUUCCUGUCCAACGUUAAUCGGGGCAGGGUGAGUCGACCCCUAAGGCGAGGCCGAAAGGCGUAGUCGAUGGGAAACAGGUUAAUAUUCCUGUACUUGGUGUUACUGCGAAGGGGGGACGGAGAAGGCUAUGUUGGCCGGGCGACGGUUGUCCCGGUUUAAGCGUGUAGGCUGGUUUUCCAGGCAAAUCCGGAAAAUCAAGGCUGAGGCGUGAUGACGAGGCACUACGGUGCUGAAGCAACAAAUGCCCUGCUUCCAGGAAAAGCCUCUAAGCAUCAGGUAACAUCAAAUCGUACCCCAAACCGACACAGGUGGUCAGGUAGAGAAUACCAAGGCGCUUGAGAGAACUCGGGUGAAGGAACUAGGCAAAAUGGUGCCGUAACUUCGGGAGAAGGCACGCUGAUAUGUAGGUGAAGUCCCUCGCGGAUGGAGCUGAAAUCAGUCGAAGAUACCAGCUGGCUGCAACUGUUUAUUAAAAACACAGCACUGUGCAAACACGAAAGUGGACGUAUACGGUGUGACGCCUGCCCGGUGCCGGAAGGUUAAUUGAUGGGGUCAGCGCAAGCGAAGCUCUUGAUCGAAGCCCCGGUAAACGGCGGCCGUAACUAUAACGGUCCUAAGGUAGCGAAAUUCCUUGUCGGGUAAGUUCCGACCUGCACGAAUGGCGUAAUGAUGGCCAGGCUGUCUCCACCCGAGACUCAGUGAAAUUGAACUCGCUGUGAAGAUGCAGUGUACCCGCGGCAAGACGGAAAGACCCCGUGAACCUUUACUAUAGCUUGACACUGAACAUUGAGCCUUGAUGUGUAGGAUAGGUGGGAGGCUUUGAAGUGUGGACGCCAGUCUGCAUGGAGCCGACCUUGAAAUACCACCCUUUAAUGUUUGAUGUUCUAACGUNNNNNNNNNNNGACCCGUAAUCCGGGUUGCGGACAGUGUCUGGUGGGUAGUUUGACUGGGGCGGUCUCCUCCUAAAGAGUAACGGAGGAGCACGAAGGUUGGCUAAUCCUGGUCGGACAUCAGGAGGUUAGUGCAAUGGCAUAAGCCAGCUUGACUGCGAGCGUGACGGCGCGAGCAGGUGCGAAAGCAGGUCAUAGUGAUCCGGUGGUUCUGAAUGGAAGGGCCAUCGCUCAACGGAUAAAAGGUACUCCGGGGAUAACAGGCUGAUACCGCCCAAGAGUUCAUAUCGACGGCGGUGUUUGGCACCUCGAUGUCGGCUCAUCACAUCCUGGGGCUGAAGUAGGUCCCAAGGGUAUGGCUGUUCGCCAUUUAAAGUGGUACGCGAGCUGGGUUUAGAACGUCGUGAGACAGUUCGGUCCCUAUCUGCCGUGGGCGCUGGAGAA